ACUACCUAAAAGCAGGAAGUACAUUAGUGGAUCAUCCAUCCACACCACAUGCAGCCGAAACAGAAAAACAAAGCCUACAAAAUUAUAUUUUGGGCAGAUGUGGAUUUUUUGAUGUAGUGCUGAGGCUAGCAGCCGAAACCUGUAAUCUACAUAUCGCGUGGACGCGUUUGGGCAAACAAGAGCAUGGGGCAGCAUCUUGGAAAACGUGAGCUUUCUGUUCCCAAGGGAUCCUCAAUCGUAUCUGAACGCAUCCCAACAGACUCACCGGAGUCACA